GAUGGACGGGUAGUCGGUAGAAGGUCGUGACCGGGCUAUUGUGUAGCCAGAGUAGCGUGGGAUACACUCCAUACCACUGUAGUCACGCACGAGGAAUGAGUGUCUGACAGGUCUAAUGAGUGGAUGUGUUCUGUCGAGGAUUUAUAGAGUGGGGUGCGCGGCCGGACCCGGGUUUCGGGUAGCACCGCGGCGCCAGGCGGUGGACGGACGGCACGUUUUAGCGCCAGGGGAGAGGAAUGGCGGUUCGGGGACGUUAGUUGUUCUACGUGCACUGCGCUGGCUACAUCAUGUCGGUGGCAGAACAGUGUGCUGUGUGAUGAUCGUAGUAUUGGCGGCGGGUGCGGCGUUUAGUGGUUUGUUCCACUUGGUGUACCAGGUCAGCCAAGACGUGAACGCUUUGACAAACGCGUUCAGCCGGGUCGAAGCGCUCAUAGCCAGUAUGGUACCGCCGGGGUCCGAUGAUAGCCUGGAAGAGGCCAUCGCCAAUCAGACGGGACGCCUGGUGGAGGCCGUUCGCACGGCCUUAAAAUACUAGCAGGUGCGCAGACGCCGGAGCGGCAGAGGAUGUCGGAGACGACGCCGGUGCGGUGGGAGAACCGCAUCCAAUUCUGCGCGAGUUUUUUUUUUUAUAAUGAAGAGCGUUCUGCUGUAUACGCUCGCUGCUUUUCGAUACCGGAUGAGGAGCGUGGUGUUUGGAAUUUAUUGCACAGCAUAUUCAGGACUAAUACUUGACACUGC